GUCCCGCUUUUUAUAGGACUAGUAAGGAUUUGAAUGAAAAACAACACGCCUCCACACCCGUGCCGCCUCCUCACAUGGAGGGGAUUACCUCCCGUCAACUCUCCUGUCUGGAGGAGAGAGAGGUAGAUGCGAUCAAACGCAACAUGCUGCUCGUUAGAUUGCUUGACAGCUACACUUUGGAAUUCAUCGGUGCUUGUAAUGCAUCGCGUCAAUGAUAAAAAAAAAAAAAAAAAAUCCUCUCGUUGAACACUAGAUGCUGUCAGAGAUGUUUGACAUGACAGUUGUGUUUUUAACCGGUUCAUCUUGUCGGGACAUGAACUUGGUGAAGUCGACAGAGAGAUAGACUGAUGAGAUAGAUGUUAGGUCGUUUGACAUGGCAGUUACAAUAUUUUAAUGCACUGCUGGUUUAAAUCCAUCCUGUCGAGACAUGUUUCUUAGAAUUCUGUUUGGACUCUCUUUCUGACGGCACCCAUUCACUCCAUUGGUGAGCAAGUGAUGGAAUGACACAUUUCUACAAAUGUAAUGAAGAACCAAACUCAUCCUAAUCUUGAAUGACCUGAGGGGCUCUCCUCAGUGUGUGGCCCCUCAUCUCAGCUCAGCUCGAAUCGAACCGUCACCUCAUCACAUCCACUGACAGGUUGGUUGCAACGCCAAAGCUAACGGAUCGCUGCUUUCAGAUCUGCUCUGAUCCAGGUCUGUUCUCCGGCACGGCGUCCUCAGAUGAACUCGCACAGCCUGUCAGACGGAGGAGGAGGAGGAGGAGGAGGAGGAGGAGGAAAUGCGAUGGACGGCACACUGCUGCUGCUUAUCUGAGCCAACACAGAGACGCAGAGAAUCCCUGCUGACACUCAGAAACUGAGAGAGAGACUGAGGCCAAUCUGUGUCUGAUACAGUACAGAUCAAACAGAUGAACGACUGAAAACAGCCUGAAACUCCUGUAGAUGAAUGCUCAGUGUUUCUUCACUGAGGCCGUAUUAAUAAUCAAUCCAUCACUCCAUAACACAGUCAAACAGUAACAAUAUUCAUCCAUAAUCAUUCAUUAUGAAGCAAGGCACAUUCAAUAUCAUCUUGACCCGUCAGAGAGGUAAGUGCAAAAUAGAUGGUGAUUCUGGAUGGAUUUAACAAAUAUGUUCUGUAAUAUUUUCAGACAACAGCCAAAACAAUAUCUACACAUUUCAUUUUCAUGACAUGACACGUUUAAUAUCGAGCAAAUGUUUCAUAAUUGAUGAAGAUCUAGAAUUUCACAUUGUGCGUCUUAAACUGCUUUUUUUCAAUUGCAACUUUAUAGAGAGAGAAAAAAUACAAGGACAAAUAAAAUAUAGAUGCCGUGACAAAAUAAUAAUUGGGGUACAUUUCACAGGAAAAUGCUAUUUCAGUCUUUCUAUGUAAACAUUUUAUGUAAUUGUACCAAUAUUUUAGACAUUUCCAUGAUGUUUUAACAGGGUUCGUACAAAAUGCUUAAUUUGACUUUAAAAUUUAAGGCCUGGCAAACCUUUGAAAAUAUUAAUAUUCCUGAAGAGGUACUUGAAAAGUGCUGGAAUUAUUGUGUUUAAUUUUGUCGAUAAGCACAUAUCUUUUAAUGCAAAAUUCACACAAUUAAAAAACAUAUUUUUCGCUUAUUUCAGUUAAUGUCAGAAAACAAUCGAGCCAAGCCAGUAGUAGUACUGAUAGUAUCCUGUAAACAUGGCUAAAGACGUGAAAAGAGGAACAGAUGAACUGAAUCAAUUGAGUCAUUUGAUUCAAACUCGUGACUCUAUCAUUCAUUUCAAGCGAUUCACUUGCAAAAACUAGAUCAAAUCAAAAGCCAUUCAUUUUCGCAUUUCAGCAUAGCUUGUAAUGAUUCACAAAAGCAUGUAGUGAUGGGUGAAACGAAGCUUUUCAAAACUUUGAAUCAGUUAAACCAAUAAUCCAGUCUUUCGAAGCGUUCCAACCGGAUCGCGUAUCAUUUGAUUCAGAUCGGGACUUCAAAUUGCGUAUUGCAAAUCAUUUGAUUUAGAUCAGAACGGGUUGGUGAAUCAUUUUGCGAAUUAAAUGAUUCAAAUCAAAUGAUUCUCGAUACACAAAGUUUUAAUCUAAGUCAAAUGAUUCACGUGUUGCGCUUUAGCGAAUCAUUUGACUUAGAUCAGGACUACAAUGCGGGUUCGCGAAUCACUUGUUUCAGAUCAGGAUUUCGAAGCAAUUUCGCAAAUCUUUUUUUCAGUUUUUAAACAGUAGAAAAUAUCAAACCAUUCAGGCAGUGCAGUUAUAAAAACAAAACAAAGAAAAAGUUUGUAAAAAAAAUUGUAUUAGUAUAUUUUUAUUUGUCUAUUUCUCUCUUUUUUUUAGAAUGUGAAUUAGAAGACAUCUUUUAAUAAGUGAGAUCUCUGAUUGAAGUCCUUAAAAAUAAAAAAAGUAGUGCUUGAAAGUCCUGGAAUUUAAUUUUAUAGUAUCUGUACGAACCCUGUUAUAAUAAUUGUAUUAAUUUCAAUGAAAUAAUGUAUAAUUCCGUACCAUUUCCUGACCAUUAUUAUAUUUCAUAAGUCAUUUAAAUUACUGCACUAUUUGCGUUUACAUUAUUAAACACUAAUCAUUAAAUUAUAAUAGUGGUUGUCUAAUUAAUACUUCUUUAUUAUAAUUAAAUUAUAAUUAUAAAAUGUAAUUUAAUUUAAAUGUGAGAUUAUGGCAAUUAAGCACAUUGCAAUUCUAAUUAUCAUUUUCUUUAAGUGAAAUAUAAUUUAAAGCAGAAAGAAAGAUUUUAAUUAUUCUCCAUUAAUGCUAAUAAGUGAAUUCUUAUUCUAACAAAUUAAAGGCAGUGCAAAAUAACUGGUGCAAAAUACCUUUUUUUCUUUUAAUUUUGGGGUAAAAUUAUGACUGGGACGUGCACAAUUAUCUGAAACACAUACAUUAAUGCUGUGAUCGUUAGAUGCUUUCUUCAGUGCAAGGUUUCUCAUCACGAGAUCCGAUCUACGGACACCGACCUGAGAACCCGAACCGACACCUCGUACACGGCAAAAACCACCAUGUUGACGGGAAACGCCCGCAGGCAGUUUAUUUCCAGGCUUUUGAAGAAAAUCCUCGGCCCUUCGUUCCGUACGGUCUCAGUCACGCAGUGAACGAGUCCUCGGUAUCUCCUCUCUCCUCGAACGCCGUCCAUCUGCAGACGGGCUUUGAUCACGUCCAUGGGCGUCCCGACAGACCAGCCGGCCAUUCCCGCAACUCCACCGGCCAACAGCACCGCCGGCCACUCUGACGACAUCGACACACAUUUAACCCUAUAAAGCCUUUCUAAAGCCUCUGAACAACCAAUAUAACCUUCUCCAUGUCUUCUGAUAGUUUAGAGUUUUUUUUAUUAAGUUAAAAGGUGAGUAAACAACAGAAUUGAAAUGUUUGGGGUUUGAUUCACCUGGCUCUUUCUGUCCUGCCGGCGUGAGCUGUGAACACAGUGUGCUGUAGGUCAGGAAGUAGGUGGCGAACGACGGCCCGUCCCUGAAGGCCAGAGGAAGAGCUCCUCUGUAAAGGCCCGAGAUGCCCUCGUCUCUGGCGAUGCUCAGCAGGCAGUGGAUCGGCCCCCUGUAUUUGGGUUUGAGUCCGCUCCUCUUGCUCUCGGUCUGACACUGAAGACGGACCUUCACUAUGUCGCCGGGUGACAUUACAGAGAUCUAAGAACACAGAAUAUGUGACAUAAUGAAUGUUUUGAUCACUUUCUCAAAUAUUUAUUACAAUAUAGAUAAGAGAUACAGAUAAAUGCAGUGUUGGGAAGGUUACUUUGGAAAUGUAACGGGUUACAGAUUACAAGUUACUUGAUUUAAAAUGUAAUGAGUAGUGUAACUUUUCAAUUUCUUUAUUAAAGUAAUGUAACAUUAUUUUUAAUUACUUUUGAUUACUUUUCUAAAUUUCUAAUUUUUUCAACUGUUAAUCAUUUUGAAACAUUUAAACCAGGUAGAGUGAACCUUACAGUAGCACUCAACACUGAUUACUGUCAGACUUUCACAAUCCUGUAUCACUUGAAUUAAGAUUAUAAUAAGUAAGGGAUAAUAUACAUCUUUAUUUUGCGAUAACAACUGGCUGAAUGUACAUUAUCCCUCUUAUUACACAUCUGCUUGAUAGAUUAUUAGAUGUUUUGUGUCAAAAUUAUUAGACACGAAACACUGAUCUGAGUUGAAAUAUAUGAACGCAAAGCUUCCAUGAAGAAAUCAGUUGCCAGCAAACGGCAAGUUCAACCUAGACAUUUUAGGGACACAGUGCAGUCAUACCAGUUUUCUUACACAACAUUUCACCACAUAAAUAAUUAAGUAGUAGUACUAGUUUGUUAGUUAUCUUAUAAUCCAUUACAAUGUACAAAAAAAAAAAAUGGCAACAGUUGUGUUUGUAUGAAACAAUAAAGCAAAUCCGCAAUACCAGGAUGACAGAAUUAAGAAACUGUACACAUAAUAUUGAAUUAAGCUUUAAUAUUUUAGCUAACAAAACGCAAAGCUUCCGCCAAGAAAAAUUAUCAAGCAUAUAGCACUGACUUUUUUUUUUUACUAAUAUUUUUGGGCUUUUUAUGCCUUUUAUUGUGAUAGGACAGUAGAGAGAUGACAGGAAAGAGCCGGGAGGAGAGAGGGGAGCGGGAUCGGCAAAGGAUCUCGAGACGGGAAUCGAACUCGGGUCACCGUGAGCGCAGUUGUGCUAUAUGUCAUAACAAGAUCAUAAUAAAAAUAACAUCAUAACAACGAAAUAGCUAUGAUACUGGGUUUGAAAUCAAAUGUUUGCAUAGUUAUGACAGAAAACACUAGCAUCUAACAAUGCCUUGGAAAAAACUAUCUUAAAAAAUAAAGUUUAUGCAUAAACCCAAAUAGGAAAUUAAACAGUUAUUGAAUAAGCACGUGUCCUGUUCUGUGUCCUAAACUCCUGAAAUAUUGGUGUCUCAUUUUAGAGCAGUCAAUGCAAUUUAAAAGAAGUCAAUUGAAUCUGCAAGUGGGGGUGGGUGGGUGAAAAAAUUCAGAUGUAAUCCCCUUUGUAAUCACUGGCAUUUUUCAAAAGUAACUGUAAUUUAAUUACACAUUUUUUCUCAGUAACUGUAACUAAUUACAAUUACAUUUAUUUUGUAAUUAAAUUACGUAAUUCCGUUACAUGUAACUAGUUACUCCCCAACACUGGAUAAAUGUAAGAUUGACUUGAAUGGUAUGAGAUGACUGGAUGCUUUCAGCUGAUUCCUAUUGAACUGUCAGCAACUGAACUCCAUCAUAACACACAAUGUUUCCAUCUAACAUGUACAGUCAUGUGAAAAAGUUUGAACACCCUACUGAAUUCCGUGGUUUUCUGAAUCAGGACAUCAUUAAAACAAAUCUGGUCCUUGGUUGCUCUUAAAAUUUUGAAAAUAAAACCUCAGAUGAACAACAAC